rnacentral:rRNA from 1 species
GAUCAUGGCUCAGGAUGAACGCUAGCUACAGGCUUAACACAUGCAAGUCGAGGGGCAGCAUGGUCUUAGCUUGCUAAGACCGAUGGCGACCGGCGCACGGGUGAGUAACGCGUAUCCAACCUGCCUUACACUCUUGGACAGCCUUCUGAAAGGGAGAUUAAUACAAGAUGUUAUCAUGAGUAAGCAUUUUCGCAUGNUUAAAGGUUACCGGUGUAAGAUGGGAGUGCGUU